GAUGAACGCUGGCGGCGUGCCUAAUACAUGCAAGUCGAGCGAACAGAUGAGGAGCUUGCUCCUCUGACGUUAGCGGCGGACGGGUGAGUAACACGUGGAUAACCUACCUAUAAGACUGGGAUAACUUCGGGAAACCGGAGCUAAUACCGGAUAAUAUAUUGAACCGCAUGGUUCAAUAGUGAAAGACGGUUUUGCUGUCACUUAUAGAUGGAUCCGCGCCGCAUUAGCUAGUUGGUAAGGUAACGGCUUACCAAGGCAACGAUGCGUAGCCGACCUGAGAGGGUGAUCGGCCACACUGGAACUGAGACACGGUCCAGACUCCUACGGGAGGCAGCAGUAGGGGAUCUUCCGCAAUGGGCGAAAGCCUGACGGAGCAACGCCGCGUGAGUGAUGAAGGUCUUCGGAUCGUAAAACUCUGUUAUUAGGGAAGAACAGAUGUGUAAGUAACUAUGCACGUCUUGACGGUACCUAAUCAGAAAGCCACGGCUAACUACGUG
rnacentral:rRNA from 1 species